AAGGUGAUAUGCUGAAGAUUUGUGAUUAUCACAGUAUGGCCUUUACAUUGCUUCUGUAUGAUCUGAACCUGUUGAGCUCAUCACAAAGACCAUACAAAUUGGCUCUAUCCCUGAUGUCCAAUAAAAAAGGGGAACUAUGGCCUCAGAUCGAAAAAGUUUCUUUUCCUUUGUGAUUUUGCAGCGGGACUUGCUUAUGGAGACGUUCGCUCUGGGUCAAAGCUUAAGAGUACUGAUGCUUUUGACCAUUUAAUUAGUGUUUAGGGGGAGGAUUUCCACAGUAACCCUGGGCUGGUUAACCUAUUUGGAAUAGAAUUCCCUGAUUUGAAUAUCAAGCAUUCACAACUUCAGAAUACAUUGUCUCGAGCCACCGCCGUCGGGCUCCGCGUCCACGCGCCCCUUCAAACCUACUGGAUGCAAUCUCGCAUUGCGCUGUCGUCCGCACUGUCUGGCACCACCUAUGGACACAGAACGACGGAUCAAGGUUUAAUGACUUUGAUCAGGCAAGAUACAUUCUGCCCCGCUCAUCUCCCCGUGUUGCUGUUGGGCAGCAUCGACACCGGCCUCGAUCAGUGUCGGGGCAAUGGUGAACCAAUGAAGAAGCUUAAGGCGGCUCAGGUGGGGUGGCACACGAUAUUGACAUCAGCCACGACCAGCGUCGGAGGAUGGGUCAUUGGGACGGAAGGAGGAAGACAAAGAGGAGGAAGAAGACGAUGAUCACCAAAUUUUACCACCGAUAAAAAACACGCGACCGAUGCAUAGUUGCUCUUAUAGUAUCUGCUAAAGAAAUUGAUAAAAGAUGAUAUAUAUUCGUAGGACUUCACUCAUGUCACUUAGUCACCAGUUUGAUUUAUUUUCCUGUAUUUUGCCCAGGCAACGCACGGGCAUUGUACUAGCAACCGGCUCCGGGCCCAGCCUACAUUAGGGGGUGUGUUAUGUAUUCGCAAGGUUGUGUCCAGUAUAAGACUUAAUUCCUUGUAACCAUAAAUGUGAGCUAGGAAGAAUAAAAUUUGUGCUCUAUUGAACUUACUGUAGAGCGGAGCAAGACGAUCGAAGAGAGGGAGGGAUUACAAAUAUUUCAAUCAUGGCAGAGUUAGAAGUAGAACAAGCAAUGUAGA